rnacentral:rRNA from 1 species
GACAGAGGUGCCGAGCGUUAGGCGGAAUCACUGGGCUUAAAGCGUGUGUAGGCGGGCCGUUAAGUGUCUUGUGAAAUCCCCCGGCUCAACCGGGGAAUUGCUGGGCAUACUGGCGGUCUUGAGCAAUCUAGGGGCAGAUGGAACAAGUGGUGGAGCGGUGAAAUGCGUAGAUAUCAUUUGGAACGCCAAUGGUGAAAACAGCUCGCUGGGGGUGCACUGACACUGAGACACGAAAGCCAGGGGAGCGAACGGG